rnacentral:rRNA from 1 species
GGGGGAUAUUGCACAAUGGGGGAAACCCUGAUGCAGCGACGCCGCGUGGAGGAAGAAGGUUUUCGGAUUGUAAACUCCUGUCGUUAGGGACGAUAAUGACGGUACCUAACAAGAAAGCACCGGCUAACUACGUGCCAGCAGCCGCGGUAAAACGUAGGGUGCAAGCGUUGUCCGGAAUUACUGGGUGUAAAGGGAGCGCAGGCGGGAAGACAAGUUGGAAGUGAAAACCAUGGGCUCAACCCAUGAAUUGCUUUCAAAACUGUUUUUCUUGAGUAGUGCAGAGGUAGAUGGAAUUCCCGGUGUAGCGGUGGAAUGCGUAGAUAUCGGGAGGAACACCAGUGGCGAAGGCGGUCUACUGGGCACCAACUGACGCUGAGGCUCGAAAGCAUGGGUAGCAAACAGGAUUAGAUACCCUGGUAGUCCAUGCCGUAAACGAUGAUUACUAGGUGUUGGGGGAUUGACCCCCUCAGUGCCGCAGUUAACACAAUAAGUAAUCCACCUGGGGAGUACGACCGCAAGGUUGAAACUCAAAGGAAUUGACGGGGGCCCGCACAAGCAGUGGAGUAUGUGGUUUAAUUCGAAGCAACGCGAAGAACCUUACCAGGUCUUGACAUCCGAUGCAUAGCACAGAGAUGUGUGAAAUCCUUCGGGACAUCGAGACAGGUGGUGCAUGGUUGUCGUCAGCUCGUGUCGUGAGAUGUUGGGUUAAGUCCCGCAACGAGCGCAACCCUUAUUGCCAGUUACUACUUAAGAGGACUCUGGCGAGACUGCCGUUGACAAAACGGAGGAAGGUGGGG